ensembl:lncRNA
GAGAUCAGUUUUAAUGAGCAAGAGAACUGCUGCACAUAGAUAGCAACUCAGAGACUCUCACAUGGUUGCUAAUUUUUGCAUUCUCAGGCUAAUCAUUGUUUUAUUAUUUUAGGUGAUCAAACUCCCUUGAUUGUCAGUGAUUUACCUGUAAGGGUGUAGUUAAAGAUGUGGCCCUUUGAGAUAUAAUACGUUUUAGUGCUUGACAAAUAUAUUGCUCUUGUGACACUCACGUAGCUUCUCUGGAACUGAGUCAUCCUCUUCAGUUCUCUAGAAAAUAAACAUUUUGCUGGAAUGGAUUGGGCUGAGAACUCCCCACCCUCCCUCUCUCUGUCAGCGUUACCCUAUAAAAGCAGAGCCAUCUCUCCACUCUGCACUAGAACACCUGAUCACUACAAUCUUCAACCGCGCCAUCGCAUCGAGGAAGAACACACAGACACAGCAAUGGAUUGUGCUUCAACUGUCGUCACUUCACAUACCAACAGCAAAAACGACUGCAAUAAAAAAAAAUGUGUUGCCCCAUGUCCUACUGAAUCAGGCAAAAACAUAUCAGGUCAAAACAUAUCAGGCCAAAACAUAUCCGGCAGUGUGGGCGGAAGUAUUUCCAUUGGCAACCAGGACAAUACCAUCACUCAUACCGGUAUGUAACCCUAUCCAGCGGGAGGGAAUCUACAUAUGAAUGAAUUUAUACAUCAAUUCAUAUUUUAUUGUUUUGUGGCCAUUCAACAUGGGAAUAUAACACACAUUGAUAUUAGACAUUUCAAAGCAUAAAGCAAUUACAUGUCCAUAUACAUACACAUUUCACAGCUCAGUUCCAGCACCAGCAUAACAAAUGUUUUAUUGUUGCUCAUAGCAGUGUUCUAUGCAAACUCCUAAUACUGACAACCACAUUUAUUUAAUUACUGUCAAUGACUCUCUCUCGUUCACUUAGGUUAACAAACAACUCCCAGAAAAACUGUCGCACCCAGCAUCACCAUAGCCAACAUAACAGGUGGCAAAGUGGGUCUUUACUACAAGGCAGAGAAGAUGGCUCUCUGUGACCUCAUCGAGGGGAGACAACUCAGGAAGGGCCACUCCAUUCUCAUCCUGGAAAACACCUUUAAGAAGACCCCUCUUCCUCCUCUAUGUCACUGGCUUCCAAGUAGAAAGUGACAAUACAUACAGAUUUAACUACAUACAAAAUAUUGAUUAAAAAUAAAGAGAGAAUAAAUCUCAGAUAAGUGAAAAAGUGCUACAAGAUAUACUUUGAUUGUAUGGUCGAAUUCAACAAUGUAAUCAAUGUAGGUUUUUGACAAAAAAAUAAAUGUUACCAAACUGAGAAAAUGUUAGUAUGUGUUCUGUAAGAUGUUAUCAUGAGUGUGUGUGUGAUUACAUUACAUGAUUGGGGUUGCCACCAGAUAUCCUACAUACUGAUGCUAAUUUCAACAAAGGUCAACAACACAAUAUUGUAAUCAAAGUUGUAUUUCUAAGGUUGUAGUCAUGUUAUUUCAAGCAUACAGUGUGUUGGUGCAAGACACUUACAGUGAGCACAAAUAUAUAUAACAGAGACAAAAUCUGCACAUUUCCUCAUUACAUUGGAUUUGAAAAUCAUUUGAACUAGAAUGUUAGAUAAAUGCAGUGUUUCCCAACUAAAGGUUUG